GAGAGGUGGCCGAGUGGCUGAAGGCGACGGUUUGCUAAACCGUUAUAGGGGGAAACUUCUAUCGUGGGUUCGAAUCCCAUCCUCUCC
rnacentral:tRNA from 1 species